ensembl:lncRNA
UAUCUAUCACUUUGCAGUAUUUAUUCCUCAUCUCCACCUUGCAAGCAUGGAUGAUUUAGAGUGAGUUAGAUUCUGGAGAGAAUAUCUGUCAGAAAAUGGAACAAAAUUGGCAUAUGGCAGAGGUUGGAAGAGAGACAGUCCAGCAAACCUGUCACAAGGCUCUGUCAUUGCUAUAGUCCCAGUGGAUUGUAAAUGGUCAAUUAAAAGGGAGAUGGUUGAAAUGAAUUAAACAAAUGAAGUCACAGCUUUGGGGAACGUGCAUACCACAGGGCAACUGCUUCUACUCCUCCAAAACUCUCCACCUCUAAAUCAAGGACCAAGAAAAAAGCCACAGGAACACAACAGGACAAUAAAGAUUUUGCCACUGACCCAAAGCAACGUGCCUUUGGCAGACUCCCAUCGUCUGAGUUCCAAGAAGCAGAGCCCAGGGGAAAGGCAUGGAAUACCUUUCCAGAACAGAGUUUCUCCUCUGCAUGAUGAGGGGAAAAGAGGAAGUGAAAUCGAGAAUGUAAAGGAUCCAAAUCAGGUUAAGAUUCUCGUACCACAGUUAGGAACCCGGGGCAGUCAGUCCCGUUGUCAAAUGAAGACCAGGAACCCCAGGGCUCAAGACCAGCACAGCUUUCCACUGGUGUUGACAGAGGUCUGAAUGCAAGAGGACUUUCCUACGAAGGCUGAAGAAAAUACGAUGCAGCCGUGGGUGUCAGCUGAAGAACAGCCAACACAAGAGCUGGAUCCUAUUUACCCACGGAAUGAAUUGUGACUGCUAUUUUUCAAGGGAUUAAAAAAAGGAAUGCCGUGUGAAGGAAAACACUUACUCCGCACACCCUGAAGUGAACACAUACCAUUCUUGUUUCGCCAUGAGAACGUUUGGCCAACUGCCUCUCGCCUUUUACCAUUUUCUUGCUCAUUCUCUUACCUUUCUCAAAAAUAAGAGGAUGUUCAUUAAUCAGAGGCACCAUUCUGGGGAGUUGCAUAACAACCUGGAAACCAUCACAACUGGGGAAGUGGGAAGCAACUCGGACUUGCAAAAUUGGAAGUCCUAGAUUUUAGGACAAUAGUCUGCUCCUUAAUUCCUUUGCCUGGGUGAUUAAGCCAGUUUAUCUAAACCUCAGCUCGCUCAUCUACAAGAUGAUGGAAAUGAUAUCUGCUCUGCUGACUUCAUAGGGGUUUUGAGAGGAUUAAACGAGAUGACGUGGGGCUGGCCCCGUGGCCGAGUGGUUAAGUUCGCGCGCUCUGCUGCAGGCGGCCCAGUGUUUCCUUAGUUCGAAUCCUGGGCGCGGACACAGCACUGCUCAUCAGACCAUGCUGAGGCAGCGUCCCACAUGCCACAACUAGAAGAACCCACAACGAAGAAUACACAACUAUGUACCGGGGGGCUUUGGGGAGAAAAAGGAAAAAAUAAAAUCUUAAAAAAAAAAAAACGAGAUGACGUAAGUGAAACUGUCAUUCAAAAGUUGAUGAUUACAGAAUAAGAACGGUAAUGAUCAAUAGGCACAAAUAUGGGAAGAGAAAUAAGAUGUGUGCAAGGCCCUCCUACAAAGGCACUAUGGCUGAGCCAAUAGUAAGCAGUGCACAGCAGGGGCCAGGACCACCAACACCAAACCAUCAAGG